UAUAAGAUGAUAGGUAGAUGCAAUAGUAAGGUGACUAAAAGAUAAGUCCAGAACAAUGGAUUAGGCGCGAUUCAUUAUUAGAAAGCCUUCCAAUGGAAAUACUACUUCCCUGCAUUUAAGAUGGGUACAUGCAAUAAAGAGUCUUUCAACGAAAAUCAUCAUAUCUACCAAAAAUAAAUAAAAUCAUCACUGAGCAUAGAACAAAACAAAGAAAACAAUCUAAAGCAGAUACAUCAUCCCAACAAACAGAGGAUCAGAAAAGCAAGUCCUCGGAAAAUGUACUAAUCAACGAAGAGGUUAGCACCUAUCUGCCUAAUAUUAAGACUGGCUAAAUAAAUUCUAAGCUGAG